CCUACGGGCGGCAGCAGUGGGGAAUAUUGGACAAUGGGCGAAAGCCUGAUCCAGCCAUGCCGCGUGUGUGAAGAAGGCCUUCGGGUUGUAAAGCACUUUCAGUGGGGAAGAAAGCCUUGGGGCUAAUACCCUCGAGGAAGGACAUCACCCACAGAAGAAGCACCGGCUAACUCCGUGCCAGCAGCCGCGGUAAUACGGAGGGGGCGAGCGUUAAUCGGAAUUACUGGGCGUAAAGCGCGCGUAGGCGGUCUGAUAAGCCGGUUGUGAAAGCCCCGGGCUCAACCUGGGAACGGCAUCCGGAACUGUCAGGCUAGAGUGCAGGAGAGGAAGGUAGAAUUCCCGGUGUAGCGGUGAAAUGCGUAGAGAUCGGGAGGAAUACCAGUGGCGAAGGCGGCCUUCUGGACUGACACUGACGCUGAGGUGCGAAAGCGUGGGUAGCAAACAGGAUUAGAUACCCAGUAGUC
rnacentral:rRNA from 1 species